AUUGAACGCUGGCGGCAGGCCUAACACAUGCAAGUCGAGCGGAUGAAGGGAGCUUGCUCCUGGAUUCAGCGGCGGACGGGUGAGUAAUGCCUAGGAAUCUGCCUGGUAGUGGGGGAUAACGUCCGGAAACGGGCGCUAAUACCGCAUACGUCCUGAGGGAGAAAGUGGGGGAUCUUCGGACCUCACGCUAUCAGAUGAGCCUAGGUCGGAUUAGCUAGUUGGUGGGGUAAGGGCCUACCAAGGCGACGAUCCGUAACUGGUCUGAGAGGAUGAUCAGUCACACUGGAACUGAGACACGGUCCAGACUCCUACGGGAGGCAGCAGUGGGGAAUAUUGGACAAAGGGCGAAAGCCUGAUCCAGCCAUGCCGCGUGUGUGAAGAAGGUCUUCGGAUUGUAAAGCACUUUAAGUUGGGAGGAAGGGCAGUAAGUUAAUACCUUGCUGUUUUGACGUUACCAACAGAAUAAGCACCGGCUAACGUCGUG
rnacentral:rRNA from 1 species